UGCAAAGGUAGCAUAAUCAUUAGUCUUUUAAUAGAGGGCUGGAAUGAAAGGUUUAACGAGGAAUCGACUGUCUCACCUUAUAUGUAUUAAAACUUAAUUUUUCAGUCAAAAAGCUGAAAUUAUAUUGGAAGACGAGAAGACCCUAUAGAUCUUUAUAUAAUAUCAACAUAAUAUUAUUAUAUCAAUGAAUUUUGUUGGUUUUGUAUUUAGUUGGGGUGACAAAAAUAUAUAAUUAACUUUUUUAUAAUUUAAACAUUGAUUUAUGAAUAUUAGAUCCAUUAUUAUUGAUCAUUAGAUUAAGUUACCUUAGGGAUAACAGCGUAAUCCUCUUCCAGAGUUCAUAUUUACAAGAGGGCUUGCGACCUCGAUGUUGGAUUAAGAUAAUAGUUAGGUGCAGCCGCUUAACUCAUAGGUCUGUUCGACCUUUAAAUUCUUA
rnacentral:rRNA from 1 species